rnacentral:rRNA from 1 species
UACGGAGGGAGCGAGCGUUGUCCGAAGUUACUGGGCGUAAAGCGCGCGUAGGCGGGAAAUUAAGUGAGAAGUGAAAGGCUGGGGCUCAACCCCAUGCAGUGCUCCUCAUACUGGUUUUCUUGAGGGUGGUAGAGAGAAGUGGAAUGGCUGGUGUAGCGGUGAAAUGCGCAGAUAUCAGGAGGAACACCAAUUGCGAAGGCAGCUCGCUGGGACGUUACUGACGCUGGAGACGCGAAAAGCGUGGGGAGCAAACAGG